GUUGAUAGGGCUGCAAUGGCAGGUUACUGUGAUAUAGUAAUAAUUAAAGGUGACUUUCGUCAAUG
rnacentral:tRNA from 1 species